UAACAUAUGGUGUAGUUUGAGGUCAAUGGUCAACAGCUAAACAAAGUAAAAUAAUGAAUUCUACAUGGGAAAUGAGCUCAUGUAUAAAUUAGAACUUGGUAUGUGGAUGGCUAAUGGUCAUAGCAUGCCCGUUUAAACACAGGUUCACAUGCUAGAAAGGAAGUGGAACCCGCUAAAAUCCACCAAGAAAAAAAAAGCUAAACCCGGGACUCAACCACGGCUUUAAGACUGUCAGCAGAUCUUGGACCAGAUGACUGCGUUGAGAGAACUGUUUCCUAAUGGUGACAAGACAAUAAUAAUAUGCACGGAUGCUUCUGAUUUCCCUCUGUGAAGUGUGAACGAAGGCUCUUGAUUUCAUGCAAGAUCCUAUUGUUUCAGGCAAUGCAAGCCUUUGUUGGGGGUGAAAGAACAUCGGGUGGAUAGUUUCUACCAAAAUUUGUUGGAUGUAGGUGAUGUUGUACCGGAUCUCACAAAAUCAGUGGAAAAGGUAGAAAGGGCUCAUGUUCCAUAACAUGUAUAAAGCAUAUUGAAAAGGGCUAUAGCAUGCAAUUUCGGAAAUGAAUGCAUCAUUAAAGAAAUAUUUUCAACCACAUGCAACUAAUAAGGCUUUCUAUUUUUUACAAUAUGUCAUGCCGUCAGCCCAAAAAUCAUGAAAUGCAAUUUAAGAGUGAAAGGCAAGUCUGGUGACGUUAUGCCGACUAUUAUUGUUUCAAUUAUUAUUGUAAUCAUUAUUUUUUAUAUGUUUUUCUGCAUAUGUGAUCCCAAGUUGGAUUAAAACUGCACUUUAGAUGGUCAAAGACUCAAGAAAUUCCAUAUUCUUGGUGACUUAUUAACGGUUCGGUCAAAAAAUGCCAAUAGAGGUUGACAGCGCGUCGUGUUAUUUAUGAACAUAACACAAAUGAUUCUCAUGUCGUUUGAUACAUUGCGUACCCGCGGGUAGAGAGAUGGUUUCCUUACUUGAACGUUUAUUUCUUUCAAAUGAUUAUUUCAACAAUUUUAAGUUAUAUAUUUGUGUGUUAAGC